CCCUGUCUCUAUUAAAUUUGACAAGCAUAUAUACUUUUAAAUAUAUAUCAUAUAUACACACAAAAACAAAACUUAGGAUGAGAAGUAAUGUUGCAAAGCACACACUUGGCUUCAGUAUGAGUAGCUGCUUCAUUUUCCAAUGGGAAAAAAAAACAAAAAACAACCCUGAGCAGUGUAGUUAGGAGGCACUGAGUCACUGAGCACCAUUCAAUUCCAACCAGCCUCUCAAUGCAGCCCUCCCUGCCUCUUGAAUUCUGCCCCAGAAAACUCAUCCCUGUCUAGGACUCAGCCCUGAGGGGCUGGGCUGGAAGGCUGCACGGGGCAGCCUGGUCCUGGUGAAAAGGACACUUUCCUGCUCCCCCACCAUGUCUUCCUUGGAAAUGCCAGGAAAUGGGCUCUGUGCUGAUCCAGCUAUUUGGGAGCAGUGUCAUGGACACAGGCCGAGGGACAGGCUUAUCAGCCAGUGGUGUCUGAGUCUCCCGACCUCCCGGUGGGGCCUUCUGGGCCCUGCCAGCUCUUUUGUUUUCCAGAGACCAGACCUUCCUCUCUGGGAGGACAGGGUGCCACACAGAAGCGGACAGUGACACUGCUGUACCCGCACAGAACUAGUUUAUUCAGUAGUAUGGGGCAUGAGAAAACAACAACAACAAAACGCUACCAUAUUUACAGCAACAACCAAACUGUACAAUCUGAUGGAAUUGCUGAGGGGAGAAGACAGGGGGAGAAUCCACGGCAGAAAAGACAGAGGCCGGCCUCACAAAUGAGAAACAGGAGCCUUUCUUUCCUGCCCACAGCCUCUUUUUCUAGCCACCUGCUCCAGAAGGAAAGUCAGUGACAAGUCUGGAAUACAUGCUCGGAGUAAAUGGUGACUCAGAUGAAAAGCAGUCGGCAAAACUGAGGAGAGGGGAGGAGAGGUGGGGAGAUGACGGCCUGGGGCAAGGGGAAGGGCGUCAAGCCCCCAAGCCAGGGCUGCUGGGAACACCCAGCCUGUGAUGGCCAUAUCAGACCCCCGGGACUGGACACGAACCCAUCCCAACACAAAAAGCAAAUAAAUAAAACAAAUAUAUUAACUCUCUCUUCACAGGGAGCUGGGGUGGAGUCGGGCAGAAAGAGGAACAGGACCUGGUCCUUUGAAGAAGAGAGCCAAUUCCAAGAAGGGGUUAAAAAUAGAACAUGUCUCAGAGGCCACAGCAGGUUAGACAAAGUAGCAUUUGUCCGAUUUUGGGGGGUGGGGUGGGUGAGUGGACACCAGAACCCAGACUUGAAACCUGUGCUUGAUUGAGCACCCUCAGGGCAGCCGAGCCAGCACUGUGUUUACUCUUCCUCCCCCACCCACACCACAGCAAAGAAGCGCAACUUAACACAUGACUGGCCUGCCCGGGGUGCGGGGCGGGCAGGAAAAAUGAAGCACUUUUGGGUCAGCAACUGAGCAAACACCUGGGCUGCCGCACACGGCCAGAGUCCAGGAAAAGGAGAGGGGCUGGGGCUGCCCGACCCCCGCCUGGGGGCACAGGCUCCCCUGAAAAUGUGUUCAUGCAGCAUUUGGGGGUCCAGGGGCGCUGAGUCCUUCUGCCCCCUCGCCGGACAGGGCUUUUCCAGUUCCUGGGAGAGGCAGCGCGGGCAGAGCGAGGCACACCCUUUGCCCUGGCCCUCACCGUUCUGACGCCUGCCCGGGUGCAGCCCAAAGGGUGUGACGCCCUGGCUGCGUGUGGCUUUGUCCUUUCCUUUUGGUGAUGGCGAAUGAGGGGCAGGCCCCCCAGGAGUCCCUCUCCUCCGAGAGGCACAGCAGAUGGGAAACUGAGGAGAGGCUGGGAAGCAUCCUGGGAGGUCCUAUCCUCUUUGGGAAGGGAAAGGGGAGUCAAUUUCCAGCGUAUAAAAAAAAUGAAUCCCUGAAGUCAUGAA